UACGGAGGGUGCAAGCGUUAAUCGGAAUUACUGGGCGUAAAGCGCGCGUAGGCGGCUUCGUUCAGUUGGAUGUGAAAGCCCCCGGGCUUAACCUGGGAACUGCAUUCAAUACUGCGGAGCUAGAGUAUGGUAGAGGAUAGUGGAAGUUCCAGGUGUAGCGGUGAAAUGCGUAGAUAUCUGGAGGAACAUCAGUGGCGAAGGCCGACUGUCUGGACCAAUACUGACGCUGAGGUAGCGAAAAGCGUGGGGAGCAAACAGGAUUAGAUACCCGCGUAGUC
rnacentral:rRNA from 1 species